GUUUUCUAACUGGAUGGGUUUUUGGUUGGGAUGACGAAUAAAAUAUAAAGAGAAUGAUGGAACAGAGCCAAAAGUUUCUACCUGAAAAUGCACGAUUGUCGAUUUGACAAUCCUUGUGUUGAACUGGAAGUCGUAAAAGGUCUUUCCUUUCUCUACUUGCAAGCACUCCUUGUCAAGCUCUUCACGAGAGCGAGAGAGGUUCUCGUAGUUCCUGUACUGCUUUAAUCUAGUCUCGCGGUAAUUAUCUCUAGUGAAAUUAAGUCUCUCCCAGGGAAUUCCCUGUAUGUCCUUCCCAUUUCUAGCCUCCAAAGCAGAGGUAUCAGUCUUUGGUUUACUCGACUCUGGAUCGUCUUCAAAGUCCGAGUCUAUGGAAUCCAAAUCGGCGUCUCUUCGAGGUUCGUGUUCGAGGAGAGGGUUAUCUUCGAAAUCAACGAUGUCGUAAUAAUCAUCGCCAACGUAUUCGAG
rnacentral:misc_RNA from 1 species